GAGAAGGGAGAAAGAGAAAGAAGAAGAAGAAGAAGAAGAAGGCGAAGAGCAAGGGAGAAGGAAGAAGAAGGGAACAAGGGGAACACCUACCCAUUUAAGGAGUAGAAUCAAAAAGUGACGGGAGCACGAGGCAUGAGACCAUUGACUACCUACCACCAUCUAGGACUCAAGAUGUUGAUUCAUAUAACCAUUCGAAGUUUGUGAUUGAGGAGCCGGCUCUCUAUGGAGGUGGCUUCUAGGACGAGGAGCUAGCUACGGAUGAGGACAGAUGCGUAUGUGAUGAUUGUGCAUUCAGAGCAUGUUGAGGAUGAGAGUAUCAUCUUUCAUUUUGAUUCUCUUUUGUUUACAUAUCAAAUGUAGCCCUAGGGGCAUAAUUGUAAUUAACAUUCCAUUGCGAAUUUUUUUUGG